rnacentral:rRNA from 1 species
GGAUGAACGCUGGCGGUAUGCCUAACACAUGCAAGUCGAACGAGGUAGCAAUACCUAGUGGCGGACGGGUGAGGAAUACGUAGGGAUCUGCCCUUAAGUGGGGGAUAACCCGGGGAAACCCGGAUUAAUACCGCAUGAUCUCGCAAGAGCAAAGAGGGGGACCGCAAGGCCUCUCGCUUUUGGAGGAACCUACGUCGGAUUAGCUAGUUGGUGAGGUAAUGGCUCACCAAGGCGACGAUCCGUAACUGGUCUGAGAGGAUGAUCAGUCACACCGGAACUGAGACACGGUCCGGACUCCUACGGGAGGCAGCAGUGGGGAAUAUUGGACAAUGGGCGAAAGCCUGAUCCAGCAAUACCGCGUGUGUGAAGAAGGCCUUCGGGUUGUAAAGCACUUUAAGUUGGGAAGAAAAAGCUUCACCUAAUACGUGAAGCCUUGACGGUACCGACAGAAUAAGCACCGGCUAACUCUGUGCCAGCAGCCGCGGUAAUACAGAGGGUGCUAGCGUUAAUCGGAUUUACUGGGCGUAAAGCGUGCGUAGGUGGUUUGAUAAGUCGAUUGUGAAAGCCCCGGGCUUAACCUGGGAAUUGCGGUCGAUACUGUCAGACUCGAAAACGGUAGAGGGAGGUGGAACUCCAGGU